GGAUGUGAGGGCAACCUGGCUGUGACAUCUGUCACCCCAUUGAUCACCAGGGUUGAUUGGGCUGAUCUGGCUGGCUAGGUGGUGUCCCCUUCCUCCCUCACUGCUCCAUGUGCGUCCCUCCCACAGCUGCGCACUCAGUCGAAGAGGACGACCAUCCCUGCUAGAGGAGGACCGGUCUUCAGUCAAAGGUAUACGAGUAGCUGUGCUCCCCUGCUAGAACCUCCAAACAAGCUCUCAAGAACAAUAAAACUGGCAAAUACUUGGCUAUAUUAAGAAAAAAAAGAUGCAAAAGAUAAAAUCAGAAAGGAAAUGCAAACUUAUUA
rnacentral:snRNA from 1 species